AUGGACCCCAGGCCAGUGUGGUUGGUGGCCGUUUGUGUCCUGGGAGCAGGCCCUGUUGAUUCCGGAGCUGCAGAUGGCAGAGUCUCCCACAACCCCAGACACCUACUGGCACAGAAGGGGAUGGAGGCGACCCUGAGCUGUGAACAGACUAAGGGUCACAGUCACAUGUACAGGGAAAACAGCCCUGAACAGGGAGAAGGCCCAGUCUGCCCCGACCCUGCCAUGGGCCCCAGGCCAGUGUGGCUGCUGGCCAUUUGUGUCCUGGGAGCAGGCUCCGUGGACACAGACGUCAUCCAGACCCCCAGAUACUUGCUGGCCCAGACUGGGGAGAAGGUGAAGGUGAACUGUAAACGGCAUGAGAACCACGAGGUCAUGUACUGGUACCGGCGGGACCCGAGGCAGGGGCUGCAGCUUAUCUAUUUCUCCCAGACGAAAGGAGAUAUCCAGGAGGGAGACAUCCCACAGGGAUAUUUGGUCUCUCGGGAAGAGAAGGAGCACUUCCUCCUGACCAUGGAGUCUGUGGGCAUGAGCCAGUCAUCACUGUAUUUCUGCGCGAGCAGUGUAACCACAGCGCUGCAGUGUCCCCUCCGCCCCGUGCACGAACCACCCCCGGCCCGGGGCAGGAGCAGGGAGGAGAGAAAGGGCUGA